CAUAACGAUGAUUGGUCUGUAUUUUUAACCUUUCCUCACCACAGCCAGUCACCUUUCUCCCUCGCAUAAGCAAUCUCGACAAGGAGUCCAAUGCCAAGAGAGAGAGAAGAGACAACUCACAGAAGAGAGAGAGAGACCCUCUUCUACUCCAACUCUUCUUCUCUUCUCUUCUCUUCUUCUAAUAACAAACCCGAAACCUAAUCGACUCUCUCAGCGAUCGCUUCUUUUCAAUCUCAGCAGAUCUCAUAGUUUCAAUCAACCAUGUUUUCCAAGGUUUUCGGAAAGCCUAAGCAAGAAACAAACCCUCUCGCAACGUUAGAAAAAUUGAACGAGACACUUGAAAUGCUGGAGAAAAAGGAGAAAGUUCUCCUGAGGAAGGCUGCUGCAGAGAUAGAAAGAGCUAAGGAAUUUACCAGAGCAAAGAACAAAAGAGCGGCAAUACAAUGUUUAAAGAGGAAGAGACUUUACGAACAGCAAGUUGAACAGCUUGGAAACUUUCAGUUGCGCAUCCAUGAUCAGAUGAUAAUGCUGGAAGGUUCAAAAGCUACCACAGAGACUGUUGCUGCUUUGAGAACCGGGGCUGCUGCAAUGAAAGCCAUGCAAAAAGCAACGAAUAUCGAUGACGUGGACAAAACAAUGGACGAGAUUAACGAGCAGACUGAGAACAUGAAACAGAUCCAGGAGGCACUUUCAGCACCUAUUGGUUCAGCCGCUGAUUUUGACGAAGAUGAAUUAGAGGCAGAACUGGAAGAACUGGAAGGGUCUGAGUUGGAGGAACAGCUUCUCCAGCCUGCCACAACUGUACUCUCUCCUCCGCUGUCUGCUCCAGAGGGCAAGAUAAGACCGCCUGUUCGUCCAGCUCCCCGCAAGAACACAGCUGAGGAAGAUGAGCUUGCUGCUUUACAAGCUGAGAUGGCACUUUGAAAGAGAAGUGAAGCUGGUUUAUCAAUAUGCUAUCAUUGAAUGCAGCAUUGGGUGAUAAUAUUUCCGUGAUUACAUUUUCAACAACUAAGAAGAGAUUCUUUCAAGCUUGGAUGUCGGCUAUGAUGCUCGUCGUUUGCUGGUGCUUCCUCUCCUGUCCACUAGGUUACAAAUUGUGUAGAUAACAUUGAUUGGCAUUCUUCUUUAAAAUGUUUUCGAAGGUAUAUUGGAAUUUUCUUUAUUCAUCUGGUUACGGAUUCUACCUUCUGUUUGUAAAAUGAUUUUUCAGUUUCCUUUACUUUUGAAGUUUGGACAUGUAAAAGAAUUUCUGGUCCAGGGGCAUGGAUGUGGGAAACAAUUUACUGUGAUUAUCUGUACAGUUAUUUUGCCGAUCAACAAAAAUCUGUACAAGAUACAGACACAGGAGCAUCUCUAGUAGAUACUUUGAAUGUCAAAUACUACCAAAGAAGUACGAAGGUUUUGUAUGGCUAUUGAAGUAUUUCAGCAAAGCUCUUCAUGCUGA